UCCCUGAUGGCUCAGAGGUUAAAGCGUCUGCCUGCAGUGCAGGAGACCCAGGUUCGAUCCCUGGGUUGGGAA
rnacentral:tRNA from 1 species